rnacentral:rRNA from 1 species
CACGUAGGCGGCUUGGCAAGCGGAUGGUGAAAGCCCUCGGCUCAACCGAGGAAUUGCCGUCCGAACUGCCUAGCUUGAGGACGGAAGGGGAGAGUGGAAUUCCUGGUGGAGCGGUGAAAUGCGUAGAUAUCAGGAGGAACGCCGGUGGCGAAAGCGACUCUCUGGUCCGUUUCUGACGCUGAGGUGCGAAAGCCAGGGGAGCAAACAGGAUUAGAUACCCUGGUAGUCC